UACGGAGGAUGCGAGCGUUAUCCGGAUUUAUUGGGUUUAAAGGGUGCGUAGGCGGACUGUCAAGUCAGCGGUAAAAUUGAGAGGCUCAACCUCUUCCCGCCGUUGAAACUGGUGGUCUUGAGUGGAUGAGAAGUACGCGGAAUGCGUGGUGUAGCGGUGAAAUGCAUAGAUAUCACGCAGAACCCCGAUUGCGAAGGCAGCAUGCCGGCUUCCUACUGACGCUGAAGCAUGAAAGCGUGGGUAUCGAACAGG
rnacentral:rRNA from 1 species